CCCUUAGAUGUUCUGGGCCGCACGCGCGCUACACUGAUGCAUUCAACGAGCCUAUCCUUGACCGACAGGUCCGGGUAAUCUUUGAAUCUGCAUCGUGACGGGGAUAGAUUAUUGCAAUUAUUAAUCUUCAACGAGGAAUGCCUAGUAGGCGCAAGGCAUCAGCUUGCGUCGAUUACGUCCCUGCCCUUUGUACACACCGCCCGUCGCUCCUACCGAUUGGGUGUGCUGGUGAAAUGUUCGGAUCGGCCGUUUGUCGCGGUUUCCGCGUCAUGUGGCUGAGAAGUUCAUUAAACCCUCCCACCUAGAGGAAGGAGAAGUCGUAACA
rnacentral:rRNA from 1 species